UACGUAGGGACCGAGCGUUGUCCGGAAUCAUUGGGCGUAAAGAGCGUGUAGGCGGCCACUUAAGUCCUGCGUGAAAUCUUGCGGCUCAACCGCAAGCGGUCGUGGGAAACUGGGUGGCUAGAGUGCGGGAGAGGAGAGUGGAAUUCCUGGUGUAGCGGUGGAAUGCGCAGAUAUCAGGAGGAACACCGGUGGCGAAGGCGGAUCUCUGGGCCAUUACUGACGCUGAGGAGCGAAAGCGUGGGGAGCGAACAGG
rnacentral:rRNA from 1 species